ensembl:lncRNA LINC02207 long intergenic non-protein coding RNA 2207
ACCAUCAUGCUUUUUAGAGGCCUCUGCUCUGCCAGCCUGGGAGUCAUCUUCACCCUCAGGCUGGUAGACUCCAGUCUCUUAGGUCAGAAUGGGAUUAGAGACCCGUUCCUGAACCAGUCACACACAGCGGGUGAAACUGCUAUGAUUGGUUUAGACUUAGAGACUGGAAUGGAUGCUGGCCUAGAAGCGAAGACACAUAGAAGCAAUGUGUACCUAGACUGUUGUCCUAAAUGCCAUUUCCUACCAGGAAGGAACCAGAGUCUUUGCAGAAAUGUAUCAUUUCACAUCUGGAAAACAUCGCCCAUUUCAUCUGUUUCUUCAGUCCCCAGAUAGCAGAUGACUGGUAGGAAGAUGAGGCAAGUUUGCGGUCCAUUGUCAUGGAUAGUGGAGACAACACUGGGCCAGAAGUGGUAAGACCUGAAUCCAAGACUCAGCUCUGCCACUUGCUAAAUGGGACUUUGAAUAAACCAUUUCUCUGCACUUAAGUUCCUUACCAACAAAACGAGGGAAGUGGCCUACAUGCCUAGAUAUCAACAUUUCAUGUCACGUAGAGAUCUAGCAUCACAAGAAUCCAAGUCAUCCUCUGUUGCCUUUAAGAAAUUAGAAUUAAAGGAAUCAGAAUUGAAGUGAAUCUGACUACACUAAGCCUAUCACUUGUGACAGCCAUGGGAAGAUAUCAUUGGUUGCUGAGGAGCAGAAAUAAGCAGAGACCUAUUGUGUUAGGUUAUCAUUCAUUUCAGACAAAAAGCAGAUCAGCAAGUUUUCAUAUUGCACUAUUUUCAAUGGCUGGAGCAUCAACAUUUUACAACAAGAAAAAAAUUAAAAUUCUUCAACAUUUGGAAAAGAAGUGUUUGUAAAACUUUUCACAUCCAUUCACCAUCCGGAAAAGCAAGGUUUUACAGUGAGGCCUGAUGAUGUCUAGAGUCACCAUGCAUCUUGGAAAAUGACCUCCUAUUUAUUUCUUCUACAGGACACCAUGGUGUUCACCUUUCUACAACUUUACACUUGCUGAGGACAUAUUGUGGAAAAUUAAGAGAAAUAUAUAUGGAUGGCCAAGGCUGUAGAUGGAUGUCCAAGCCUUUUUACUGGGGAAUGUUUUCAGAACAAAAUGAGUUACAGGUUCAAGAGUGAAACCCAACAAAUCUUGGCUCUUUUUUUCUCUACUAAAUUCCAAAUCAAAAG